rnacentral:rRNA from 1 species
GACGAACGCUGGCGGCGUGCUUAACACAUGCAAGUCGAACGGUGAAGCGCCUUCCUUUUUGGUUGGUGUGGAUGAGUGGCGAACGGGUGAGUAAAACGUGAGUAACCUGCCCCCUUCUUCUGGAUAACCGCAUGAAAGUGUGGCUAAUACGGGAUAUUCUGGGUCUGUCGCAUGAUGGGUCUGGGAAAGAUAUUGUUUCGGUGGGGGAUGGGCUCGCGGCCUAUCAGCUUGUUGGUGGGGUGAUAGCCUACCAAGGCGGUGACGGGUAGCCGGCCUGAGAGGUUGGGCGGCCACAGUGGGGAUGAGAGACGGACCAGACUCCUACGGGAGGCAGCAGUGGGGAAUAGUGCACAAUGGGCGGAAGCAUGAUGCAGCGACGCGGCGUGAGGGAUGGAGUCCUGGGGGUUGUGAACCUCUUUCGCCAGUGAAGCAGGCCUGGCUCGUUUGUGGGUGGUUUGACGGUAGCUGGAUAAGAAGCGCCGGCUAACUACGUG